rnacentral:rRNA from 1 species
AUUGAACGCUGGCGGCAUGCCUUACACAUGCAAGUCGAACGGCAGCACGGGUGCUUGCACCUGGUGGCGAGUGGCGAACGGGUGAGUAAUACAUCGGAACAUACCUUAUCGUGGGGGAUAACGCAGCGAAAGCUGUGCUAAUACCGCAUACGCCCUGAGGGGGAAAGCGGGGGAUCGAAAGACCUCGCGCGAUUAGAGCGGCCGAUGCCUGAUUAGCUUGUUGGUGGGGUAAAAGCCCACCAAGGCGACGAUCAGUAGCUGGUCUGAGAGGACGAUCAGCCACACUGGGACUGAGACACGGCCCAGACUCCUACGGGAGGCAGCAGUGGGGAAUUUUGGACAAUGGGGGCAACCCUGAUCCAGCAAUGCCGCGUGAGUGAAGAAGGCCUUCGGGUUGUAUAGCUCUUUUGUCAGGGAAGAAACACCGGCUCUAACACAGUCCGGGAAUGACGGUACCUGAAGAAUAAGCACCGGCUAACUACAUGCCAGCCGCCGCCGUAA